rnacentral:rRNA from 1 species
UACGGAGGAUGCGAGCGUUAUCCGGAUUUAUUGGGUUUAAAGGGUGCGUAGGCGGGCUUUUAAGUCAGCGGUAAAAAUUCGGGGCUCAACCCCGUCCGGCCGUUGAAACUGGGGGCCUUGAGUGGGCGAGAAGAAGGCGGAAUGCGUGGUGUAGCGGUGAAAUGCAUAGAUAUCACGCAGAACCCCGAUUGCGAAGGCAGCCUUCCGGCGCCCUACCGACGCUGAGGCACGAAAGUGCGGGGAUCGAACAGG